UGAAAAGGACUAGUGGUUAGGUCACAGCGCUCUCACCGCUGUGGCCCGGGUUUGAUUCCUGACCAG